ACGAACGCUGGCGGCGUGCUUAACACAUGCAAGUCGAGGGCAUCUGGGUAGCAAUACACAGGUGACCGGCGAACGGGUGCGUAACACGUGAGCGACCUUGCCUAGUGGUGGGGGAUAGCCGGCCCAACGGCCGGGUAAUACCGCAUAAGGUGGUUUCUUCGCAUGGAGAGACUAGCAAAGCCUUGCAGCAAUGCAAUGGCGCCACAGGGGGGGCGUCGCGGCCUAUCAGCUA
rnacentral:rRNA from 1 species